AUGACGCACAUGAGAAAACAACGUGCUGCACAAGGAUGGAUCCUUCCACUGAUAAAGUCGUGCAGCGAGUCAGAGGAGAAUGAAUGCUGCAGCGAAUACUUGACCUUGUUUACGUACAGUGACUUCGCAGAGCCGAACACGAGCCGAGCGUCAUUCGGGCUUUUCCGGAAACCUGAUGCGGAAUGAAAGCGGCGCCAUGUUUAUUGUGGCCUAAAAUAGUGAGUCUUGUCGUAUAGAUGAUUAUAAAUGUUAUUUUCUUUUCUUUUCUUUUCUUCGAACUUUAUAAAAAGAAGAACACAGUUAUAUGGUCCUCAAAAUCAAAAGUAGUCUAUAAUAAAUGUGAAUAAACAUGUGAAUUUGAGAAUUUCGCCAAAGUUUGUUUAAUUAUUUAUUUAUUGAACGUUAGCUGUCUAUGGAGGAUCAGAAAGCUUUCGGAUUUCAUCAAAAAUAUAUUGAUUUGUGUUCUGAAGAUAAAAAAAGGUCUUAUGGGUUUGGAGCAACAUGAGGGUGAGUAAUUAAUGACAGAAUUAAAAAUUUUGGGUGAACUAACCCCUUUAAGAUUUGAAGAAUUGCAUAGUCAAUGCAAUUAAGCACACAAGGGUUACUAACAGUGAGUAACUUGCUAAACUUGCUAAGUAACUACUAAAAAAAAACUUUCACUGAAAUAAAGGACAAAUUCACAUCUGUUCGUGUGUUCAUUGUGCAAAGAAUGAUGUCAGAAUCAACAAGGGUGAAGAUGUUGGAAAUCAAGCACUGUUCACUUCUGUUCCAGACUCUUACAUUGAUUGCCAUUGUGUUUUAACAGGAAGUCUUACAUGAAGAAAGCAAGUGUGUUGUGUCCAGAAUCCCCUUAAAGAGCCAAUUCAGUGUGAUUAGCAUCACUCGCUGAGCUGAGAUCUAAUGAAGAUGAAUCCGCUGUCUUCUUCUGACUGACGUGUGUCAUUCACUCUGUAUUGUGUGUGUGUGUGUGUGGAGAUUCAGGCUCCAGCUGUGCUGCUGCUGUGGACAGAAGACAAGCCUCUGUGGUGCCUCUCAUUAGGACAUCACUGAAGACAAUCAAGACUCUACAGGAGCUGAAGAGUUAGGCUUUAAACUGCUUCCAGGCAUUCACAGCUCAUUUGGUUGCAGGUAACUAAACAGGAAUAAAGGGUCAUCUGUUUCUAGUUAGGAGAGUGAAAGUUGCUACUUCCUGAAGUGACCACUAGAAGACACAAUUUCACUACAAUUCUUCAGGAUCCAGACGAAAGCUGUUGGUCUCUAGGCCAAAUGUUUUAAACAUUGUUUUAGAAAAGAGUAUCUUCUGCUCACUAGUGCUGCAUUAAAAAAAAUAGAUAUGAUAGAAACAGUAAUAUUGCUAAAUAUUAUUACAAAUUGAAAUUAAUUGUUUUCUAUGGGAAUAUAUGUUAAGAUGUGAUUUAUUCCUGUGCUGUAAAACUCAAUAUUCAGCAUCAUCCCUCCAGUCUUUACUGCAAAC
rnacentral:lncRNA from 1 species